rnacentral:lncRNA from 1 species
CAGCUGCCCAAGUUACCUGGGAGAUGGGAAAAUCGUGUGAAAGCUGGUUAACCCUUUGAGGAUUAGAGUAAUGGUGGAAGCAGAAAGGAGAAGGAGUUUCACUCCAGGAUGUACGUAGGACCAGCCCUCCCUGCAGUCCUGUCCUUCAAGACUCAAGUCUUGUCCACUCCAAAUCACCACUGGGAUUCCUAAGUCCAGGACAGAGCUUCAGGCAAGGAAAAGAAGAGUUGGGAAAGCCAGUUUCCAACAUUUAUCAGCCACGUGUACCUGCAAACUAUAUACCUUGGGUAAAUCAUCAAUCUCUUGAAAUGGGAAUAAAACCAUCUGCCUUGUCUUUCUUACAGGGUUUUCAGAAUCAGAUAGAGAAAUGUUU